rnacentral:rRNA from 1 species
AAGAACACUACGGGAGGCUACACAUGCAACCGAGCGGGAUUUAUGGGUUAGCUUGCUAACCGAUAAUGAGAGCGGCGUACGGGUGCGGAACACGUGUGUAACCUGCCCUUAUCAAGGGGAUAGCCCGGAGAAAUUCGGAUUAACACCAUAUAACAUACGACGAGGCAUCUUGUUGUAUUAAAAACUGAGGUGGAUAAGGAUGGGCACGCGCAAGAUUAGUUAGUUGGUGAGGUAACGGCUCACCAAGGCUACGAUCUUUAGGGGGCCUGAGAGGGUGAUCCCCCACACUGGGACUGAGACACGGCCCAGACUCCUACGGGAGGCAGCAGUGAGGAAUAUUGGACAAUGGGUGGAAGCCUGAUCCAGCCAUCCCGCGUGAAGGACGACUGCCCUAUGGGUUGUAAACUUCUUUUGUAUAGGGAUAAACCUACUCUCGUGAGGGUAGCUGAAAGUACUAUACGAAUAAGCACCGGCUAACUCCGUGCCAGCAGCCGCGGUAAU